rnacentral:rRNA from 1 species
GAUGAACGCUGGCGGCGUGCCUAAUACAUGCAAGUCGAGCGAACAGACGAGGAGCUUGCUCCUCUGACGUUAGCGGCGGACGGGUGAGUAACACGUGGAUAACCUACCUAUAAGACUGGGAUAACUUCGGGAAACCGGAGCUAAUACCGGAUAAUAUAUUGAACCGCAUGGUUCAAUAGUGAAAGACGGUUUUGCUGUCACUUAUAGAUGGAUCCGCGCCGCAUUAGCUAGUUGGUAAGGUAACGGCUUACCAAGGCGACGAUGCGUAGCCGACCUGGGAGGGUGAUCGGCCGCACUGGAACUGAGACACGGUCCAGACUCCUACGGGAGGCAGCAGUAGGGAAUCUUCCGCAAUGGGCGAGAGCCUGACGGAGCAACGCCGCGUGAGUGAUGAAGGUCUUCGGAUCGUAAAACUCUGUUAUUAGGGAAGAACAAAUGUGUAAGUAACUAUGCACGUCUUGACGGUACCUAAUCAGAAAGCCACGGCUAACUACGUG